AGAGUUUGAUUCUGGCUCAGAUUGAACGCUGGCGGAAUGCUUUACACAUGCAAGUCGAACGGCAGCACGGGAGCUUGCUCCUGGUGGCGAGUGGCGAACGGGUGAGUAAUGCGUCGGAACGUACCGAGUAAUGGGGGAUAACGCGGCGAAAGUCGCGCUAAUACCGCAUACGCCCUGAGGGGGAAAGUGGGGGAUCGCAAGACCUCACGUUAUUCGAGCGGCCGACGUCUGAUUAGCUAGUUGGUGGGGUAAAGGCCUACCAAGGCGACGAUCAGUAGCGGGUCUGAGAGGAUGAUCCGUCACACUGGGACUGAGACACGGCCCAGACUCCUACGGGAGGCAGCAGUGGGGAAUUUUGGACAAUGGGGGCAACCCUGAUCCAGCCAUUCCGCGUGAGUGAAGAAGGCCUUCGGGUUGUAAAGCUCUUUCAGCUGGAACGAAACGGUACGCUCUAACAUAGCGUGCUAAUGACGGUACCGGCAGAAGAAGCACCGGCUAACUACGUGCCAGCAGCCGCGGUAAUACGUAGGGUGCGAGCGUUAAUCGGAAUUACUGGGCGUAAAGCGUGCGCAGGCGGAUUGUUAAGCAAGACGUGAAAGCCCCGGGCUUAACCUGGGAAUGGCGUUUUGAACUGGCAGUCUAGAGUGCGUCAGAGGGGGGUGGAAUUCCACGUGUAGCAGUGAAAUGCGUAGAGAUGUGGAGGAACACCAAUGGCGAAGGCAGCCCCCUGGGAUGACACUGACGCUCAUGUACGAAAGCGUGGGUAGCAAACAGGAUUAGAUACCCUGGUAGUCCACGCCCUAAACGAUGUCAACUGGUUGUUGGGGGAGUGAAAUCCCUUAGUAACGAAGCUAACGCGUGAAGUUGACCGCCUGGGGAGUACGGUCGCAAGAUUAAAACUCAAA
rnacentral:rRNA from 1 species